rnacentral:tRNA from 1 species
GCCCCCAUAGCUCAACGGACAGAGCGCCAGACUUCUAAGCUGUGAGAUGUACGUUCGAAUCGUACUGGGGGCACCA